GACGAACGCUGACGGCGUGCUUAACACAUGCAAGUCGAAGGGAGUGGCGAACGGGUGAGUAACACGUGAGUAACCUGCCCUUUUCUUUGGGAUAAGCCUGGGAAACUGGGUCUAAUACUGGAUGGAUUGGGAUGGGCUCGCGGCUUAUCAGCUUGUUGGUGGGGUGAUGGCUUACCAAGGCUUUGACGGGUAGCCGGCCUGAGAGGGUGGUCGGUCACACUGGGACUGAGAUACGGCCCAGACUCCUACGGGAGGCAGCAGUGGGGGAUAUUGCACAAUGGACGAAAGUCUGAUGCAGCGACGUCGUGUGGGGGAUGAAGGCCUUCGGGUUGUAAAGUACUUUCAGCGGGGAGGCGUUACCCGCAGAAGAAGCACCGGCUAACUCCGUGCCAGCAGCCGCGGUAAUUC
rnacentral:rRNA from 1 species